rfam:Sorghum bicolor cultivar BTx623 chromosome 1, whole genome shotgun sequence.
AUUCUAUGAUGAGGACACUCGAGUAUGUAGUCUUGAAAGCGCUCCCAAACUACUAGAACUGUCUCAUCAUGUUGUUGCUAAAAGCUUGAUAUUUUCCCACGAAGAGC